rnacentral:tRNA from 1 species
UCUAAUAUGGCAGAAUAGUGCAAUGAAUUUAAGAUUCAUUUAUGGGAAACUUUUCCCUGUUAGAA